rnacentral:rRNA from 1 species
UGGGGAAUUUUGGACAAUGGGCGAAAGCCUGAUCCAGCAAUGCCGCGUGUGUGAAGAAGGCCUUCGGGUUGUAAAGCACUUUUGUCCGGAAAGAAAUCCUUGGCUCUAAUACAGUCGGGGGAUGACGGUACCGGAAGAAUAAGCACCGGCUAACUACGUGCCAGCAGCCGCGGUAAUACGUAGGGUGCAAGCGUUAAUCGGAAUUACUGGGCGUAAAGCGUGCGCAGGCGGUUUGCUAAGACCGAUGUGAAAUCCCCGGGCUCAACCUGGGAACUGCAUUGGCGACUGGCAGGCUAGAGUAUGGCAGAGGGGGGUAGAAUUCCACGUGUAGCAGUGAAAUGCGUAGAGAUGUGGAGGAAUACCGAUGGCGAAGGCAGCCCCCUGGGCCAAUACUGACGCUCAUGCACGAAAGCGUGGGGGAGCAAACAGGAUUAGAUACCCUGGUAGUCCACGCCCUAAACGAUGUCAACUAGUUGUUGGGGAUUCAUUUCCUUAGUAACGUAGCUAACGCGUGAAGUUGACCGCCUGGGGAGUACGGUCGCAAGAUUAAACUUAAUGAAUUGACGGGGUCAUAGCUGUUUCCU